rnacentral:rRNA from 1 species
AAUGAACGCUGGCGGCAUGCCUAACACAUGCAAGUCGAACGAAGGCUUCGGCCUUAGUGGCGCACGGGUGCGUAACGCGUGGGAAUCUGCCCUCAGGUUCGGAAUACCAGCGAGAAAUUGCUGCUAAUACCGGAUGAUAUCGCGAGAUCAAAGAUUUAUCGCCUGAGGAUGAGCCCGCGUAGGAUUAGCUAGUUGGUGUGGUAAAGGCGCACCAAGGCGACGAUCCUUAGCUGGUCUGAGAGGAUGAUCAGCCACACUGGGACUGAGACACGGCCCAGACUCCUACGGGAGGCAGAAGUGGGGAAUAUUGGACAAUGGGCGAAAGCCUGAUCCAGCAAUGCCGCGUGAGUGAUGAAGGCCUUAGGGUUGUAAAGCUCUUUUACCCGGGAUGAUAAUGACAGUACCGGGAGAAUAAGCUCCGGCUAACUCCGUGCCAGCCGCCGCAGUAA